AAACUUGACCGUUCGUGCCUCUCCGGAGGAAUAUAGUCAAACGAUUUAAUAAAAACAAGUUCCUACACGAUAAUUUGCGAGGAUGUCUGAGAAUUCUGGUGACUCUGAGCAGAAAAGGUGUCAAAAACCAAGCCGGAAUUGAAUGUUUGUCGGCCGAGGAACAAAUUGCAGCGCCACUGGUUAGAUGGAUUUCGGAUCAAUCAACAUCCCUUCCAGAACAACUAGCCAAAUACGUCGCAUGGAAUAUGAAUUCGCCCGUAGAUCCACAUUUAAUAACUGAUGGUACAAACUUUUACUUAUAUGUUGAAGGAGAGAUAGUGGAGUGCGGAACUUCAUCACUUCAUGCUUUGGACAUCCUCUUCAAAUGUUUUUGCGUUUUUAAGUUAAAAGUUUCACCUUCUUUAAAAAGGGUUGUUGAGUUUUUUGAAAUUAUCACAUAUAAAAUAAAGUCUAAUAGUACAACACAAAGUGUAAACAGACUAGUAGCUAUGUUUAGAGAAUCAAUUGUUGCAGAGAAUUGCGAUUCUGACAAUUGAUGAUAGUAGUUAAGUAAUCCUGUAUUCGUUAA